rnacentral:rRNA from 1 species
AUUGAACGCUGGCGGAAUGCUUUACACAUGCAAGUCGAACGGCAGCACGGGGGCAGCCCUGGUGGCGAGUGGCGAACGGGUGAGUAAUACAUCGGAACGUGCCCGGUCGUGGGGGAUAACGUAGCGAAAGUUACGCUAAUACCGCAUACGAUCUGAGGAUGAAAGCGGGGGACCUUCGGGCCUCGCGCGAUCGGAGCGGCCGAUGUCCGAUUAGGUAGUUGGUGGGGUAAAGGCCUACCAAGCCGACGAUCUGUAGCUGGUCUGAGAGGACGACCAGCCACACUGGGACUGAGACACGGCCCAGACUCCUACGGGAGGCAGCAGUGGGGAAUUUUGGACAAUGGGCGCAAGCCUGAUCCAGCCAUUCCGCGUGCAGGACGAAGGCCUUCGGGUUGUAAACUGCUUUUGUACGGAACGAAAAGGCUCUGGCUAAUACCUGGGGCUCAUGACGGUACCGGAAGAAUAAGCACCGGCUAACUACGUG